AUUGAACGCUGGCGGCAGGCUUAACACAUGCAAGUCGGACGAGCGGCGGACGGGUGAGUAACAUCUCGGAAACUGCCUGGUGAUGGGGGAUAACUACUGGAAACAGUAGCUAAUACCGCAUACUAUCAGAUGUGCCCAUAUGUGAUUAGCUGGUUGGUGGGGUAAUGGCUUACCAAGGCGACGAUCCGUAGCGGGUCUGAGAGGAUGACCCGCCACACUGGAACUGAGACACGGCCCAGACUCCUACGGGAGGCAGCAGUGGGGAAUAUUGGACAAUGGGCGCAAGCCUGAUGCAGCCAUGCCGCGUGUGUGAAGAAGGCCUUCGGGUUGUAAAGGACUUUUGUCGGGGAAGCGGUACCUGAAGAAGAAGCACCGGCUAACUCCGUGCCAGCAGCCGCGGUAAUAC
rnacentral:rRNA from 1 species